rnacentral:rRNA from 1 species
CCUUGAAAUACCACCCUUUAAUGUUUGAUGUUCUAACGUGGACCCGUGAUCCGGGUUGCGGACAGUGUCUGGUGGGUAGUUUGACUGGGGCGGUCUCCUCCUAAAGAGUAACGGAGGAGCACGAAGGUUGGCUAAUCCUGGUCGGACAUCAGGAGGUUAGUGCAAUGGCAUAAGCCAGCUUGACUGCGAGCGUGACGGCGCGAGCAGGUGCGAAAGCAGGUCAUAGUGAUCCGGUGGUUCUGAAUGGAAGGGCCAUCGCUCAACGGAUAAAAGGUACUCCGGGGAUAACAGGCUGAUACCGCCCAAGAGUUCAUAUCGACGGCGGUGUUUGGCACCUCGAUGUCGGCUCAUCACAUCCUGGGGCUGAAGUAGGUCCCAAGGGUAUGGCUGUUCGCCAUUUAAAGUGGUACGCGAGCUGGGUUUAGAACGUCGUGAGACAGUUCGGUCCCUAUCUGCCGUGGGCGCUGGAGAACUGAGGGGGGCUGCUCCUAGUACGAGAGGACCGGAGUGGACGCAUCACUGGUGUUCGGGUUGUCAUGCCAAUGGCACUGCCCGGUAGCUAAAUGCGGAAGAGAUAAGUGCUGAAAGCAUCUAAGCACGAAACUUGCCCCGAGAUGAGUUCUCCCUGAGACUUAAAGUCUCCUGAAGGAACGUUGAAGACGACGACGUUGAUAGGCCG